AAAGUAGAAGUUUUAAGAAAUAUUUGACCUGCAAUCAGAAGAAGGUGUUAUAUACACCCUACUUUA
rnacentral:tRNA from 1 species